rnacentral:rRNA from 1 species
UACGUAGGGUGCAAGCGUUGUCCGGAAUUAUUGGGCGUAAAGAGCUCGUAGGCGGUUUGUCACGUCGGAUGUGAAAAUCCAGGGCUCAACCCUGGACCUGCAUUCGAUACGGGCAGGCUAGAGUUCGGUAGGGGAGACUGGAAUUCCUGGUGUAGCGGUGAAAUGCGCAGAUAUCAGGAGGAACACCGAUGGCGAAGGCAGGUCUCUGGGCCGAUACUGACGCUGAGGAGCGAAAGCGUGGGGAGCGAACAGG